AAAAAUAAGAGUUUCACCCCUUGGAGAACAUAUGCUCAUUUCCUUCCUCUAAAUCUAUAUUCUAAUACACAAGAUACUUAGUCCUACACAUGAGACAUGUAGAACUUGGGUACUUUGAGUAUUAGAUCAUAACCCCAAUAUAUGAUGAGGUAAAAAUCAAAAAUAGAAGGAGAAUAAGAAAAAGAAUAGAAGAGAACCUCACCUAGUUUUCUUUGUUAUCCUUCUUGUUCUUCCAAAGUAGGUUAUGAAACUAGGAUGCAUGCACAAUAAC
rnacentral:lncRNA from 1 species